GAUGAACGCUGGCGGCGUGCCUAAUACAUGCAAGUCGAGCGAACGGACGAGAAGCUUGCUUCUCUGAUGUUAGCGGCGGACGGGUGAGUAACACGUGGAUAACCUACCUAUAAGACUGGGAUAACUUCGGGAAACCGGAGCUAAUACCGGAUAAUAUUUUGAACCGCAUGGUUCAAAAGUGAAAGACGGUCUUGCUGUCACUAAUAGAUGGAUCCGCGCUGCAUUAGCUAGUUGGUAAGGUAACGGCUUACCAAGGCAACGAUGCAUAGCCGACCUGAGAGGGUGGUAGGCCACACUGGAACUGGGCCGCGGUCCAGACUCCUACGGGACGCCGCAGUAGGGAAUCUUCCGCAAUGGGCGAAAGCCUGACGGAGCAACGCCGCGUGAGUGAUGAAGGUCUUCGGAUCGUAAAACUCUGUUAUUAGGGAAGAACAUAUGUGUAAGUAACUGUGCACACCUUGACGGUACCUAAUCAGAAAGCCCCGGCUAACUACGUG
rnacentral:rRNA from 1 species